rnacentral:lncRNA from 1 species
CAGGGAAAUUGAAAACACUCAAAACAACUCAUUUUCCAUUAUUGUGCGUGAGAGCAGAGAACCAAGGAAAACCUGCUGCCUUCUUCCUCAACAAUAGACCACCACCCGCCACCUAGAAGACCAGAUUUCACAACCAUUCGAACCCCUUCACCUCCCUCUUCAAGCUCUUGUCAUCACCUGGCCACGGAGUUGCCCAAAACAGCCCCAAUCAUCACCCAAAACCGCACUACCAGUCACGAUUUUCACCGUAUUUUCACCGUCGUCGGCCACCGUUUCAAGCGCGGACCACCACCACUCUACACCUGUCAACCAGGCGUAUCCAAUACCACCAUGGGUCACCUACAAUUUUGUCUAGAUUCGAGUGAGCUUGUGAAAGUAGUCCGUGAGUUGUGGCAGAUUUGGUCCCAACAAAAUUGAUGAAAUUUUAUUUAUACAAACAAUCAAUUCUACUUUCCAAACAUCAAGGUUGGUUUUUUGAAUGGGUUGGGUUUAGUUUUUGCACAUUUAUUUAUGGUUUCUUGUAUGUUAUUGAAUUUUUUGGCUACUUACUGUUAUUGAAAUUUUCGAAAUUGGAUGUUGAAAAUGAGGUGACUUUCAUUAUCUUGUUGGCUACUUAAUGUUUCUUAAGGAGUCUGCAAACUAUUAGUCUUAGUUUGGAUAAGAAAUUGUUGAAAUCUUUCUGUUGGAGAUAGGUCUCAUUAUCAGAUGAAUGAGAUUGAAUUCAAAUCACUGGGAAUUGGCUUUGAGUAAUCUGUAAAUGCCACUCGUGGUGGUGGAUUGCUUAAUUUGCUUCAGAAGAAUGCAAUUCAAUAUCAAACAAAUUCUUUCCAUAAAUCAUAACUAUGAAAAUAUAUACUGCAAGUAUAGAUUAUUUUGGAAAAGCUGUGAGAUGUCUCUUCCCCAGUAUGUGUAAGUAAUUUUUGUUCAUGAAUGAUGAGAAACGUUUGAAGUUGGUUGCCUCUCAUUGAAUUUGAUUAAGGAGGAAAGAUUGAUAAUCCAAUGUUAAUUGAUGAAAGGUCAUGAUACUAAACAAAUAGAUCAAGAUUAGGACUCGAGAAAUUAGAUAGAGUCAAGGAUUAAACGGAAGUAGUUGUUAAUCCGAUGCAACAAUUGGAUUAUAGAGCGCAUCAAGAGAGGGAACUGAAGUUCACGACUGCUGGCUGGAAGCGUGACUGCCAUGGCAGGUGGUUUAAGGAUGAAAAUGUAAGCUUUAAUUUCUGACUUCAUGUUUAAUUGGUAAUACUGUACAAAUUUUUGGUUUAACUUGCAGCGAUAAAUUUGAGGGCAAUUUUAUUAUUUUCUGUUGUCAUAGUAUAUUUGCUUCUACAUAAUAAAAUUUUAAUAGAAUAAAUCAUUUCAAUUUGGUAGAGGUCUGUAUGAUGGUUUCAUUUGCUUGCAGGUUGAGUUUGACUCUAAUGCACAUAUGAGGGAUUCUUGAUUUUUCAUCUAUUAACAUGCAAACAUAUUGGAAUUCUAUGCAUCUAGGAAAUGACCAGCAAUUACAUUUCAUGCUGGUGUGUGCCAUCACAAUUUGUAUAUUACAAGGAAACUAUUUUCAGCCUUUCUAACUGAAUAUUGACAAGUGACAAUUGGAUGAGUUUGGUCUUCUUGUAGUAUUCUGUCUCUCAAUGUCAUUUUGAGCUUCUUUUGGGCAUGUAUGAUAUGUGUAGAUAAAUUAGAAGAUGCUUUGAGGUUGGUUGACUAAGCUCGAAGUUUUUUGGUGCUAGUUGAACAAGUUUGAAUUUUUUUUGAUGGGAAUGGAUUUCGACUAUUUCUGUUUGAAUUUGUAUUUAUUAUUUCCCCAGCAUCGUAUUGAAAAAUGCCGUGCAAAGCUAAAACCUUGUAGAAGGUUACUUUUGGGUUCAUGUAGCUUUGUCAUGCCUUGUUGGGAGGCACCUUUACUUUGAAGUUCUCGUAAUUUGAGACGAACAUAAGCUUGUCAAGUGUCG